rnacentral:SRP_RNA from 1 species
GCUGGGAGUGAGACUGCUUGCCUAUAAUCCCUUGCUACUGAGGAGACUGAGGCUAGUGAAUCACUUGAGUUCAGGAGUUCUGUGUUGUAGUAGGGCAAAAAUCUAUUGGCUUUAAUUUGGCCCCAGUAUGUGGAGCUCCAGGAGGGGGAAUCAUAAGGCUGCCUAAGGAGGUGUGGAAUGGCUCAGGUCUGAAAUGAAGCAGGUAGAAACUUCCAUGCUGAUCAGCAGUGGGAUCAAGUCCAUUCAUAAGUGGCUACUGUACAUCUAGCCUAGGUGAGGUAGGGAGACCCAGUCACA